AGAGUUUGAUCCUGGCUCAGGAUGAACGCUGGCGGCGUGCCUAACACAUGCAAGUCGAACGGAGUUCUUAAGGAAUGCGACUUCGGUCAAAUGACUUUUGAACUUAGUGGCGGACGGGUGAGUAACGCGUGAGCAACCUGCCUUUCAGAGGGGGAUAACAUUUGGAAACAGAUGCUAAUACCGCAUAAGAUUACAGUACCGCAUGAUACAGUGAUCAAAGGAGCAAUCCGCUGAAAGAUGGGCUCGCGUCCGAUUAGAUAGUUGGUGAGGUAACGGCUCACCAAGUCGACGAUCGGUAGCCGGACUGAGAGGUUGAACGGCCACAUUGGGACUGAGACACGGCCCAGACUCCUACGGGAGGCAGCAGUGGGGAAUAUUGCACAAUGGGCGAAAGCCUGAUGCAGCAACGCCGCGUGAGGGAAGACGGUUUUCGGAUUGUAAACCUCUGUUUUCGGUGACGAACAAAUGACGGUAACCGAGUAGGAAGCCACGGCUAACUACGUGCCAGCAGCCGCGGUAAUACGUAGGUGGCAAGCGUUAUCCGGAAUUACUGGGUGUAAAGGGAGCGCAGGCGGGAUAGCAAGUCAGCUGUGAAAACUAUGGGCUCAACCCAUAAACUGCAGUUGAAACUGUUAUUCUUGAGUGGAGUAGAGGCAAGCGGAAUUCCGAGUGUAGCGGUGAAAUGCGUAGAUAUUCGGAGGAACACCAGUGGCGAAGGCGGCUUGCUGGGCUCUAACUGACGCUGAGGCUCGAAAGUGUGGGGAGCAAACAGGAUUAGAUACCCUGGUAGUCCACACUGUAAACGAUGAUUGCUAGGUGUGGGGGGUCUGACCCCCUCCGUGCCGGAGUUAACGCAAUAAGCAAUCCACCUGGGGAGUACGGCCGCAAGGUUGAAACUCAAAUGAAUUGACGG
rnacentral:rRNA from 1 species